rnacentral:hammerhead_ribozyme from 1 species
AUCCAGCUGACGAAUCCCAAAUAGGAAAAAACGCGCGUCCUGGAU